UAAAGGUGAAUUAAAAAUUCCUCUAGGCCAAGGUUUGAAUCACAAAGUUGUCAAUGAAAUUUUUUUUUUUUUUAACCUCCUCCACAAGGUAGCUUUGUCCCUGGCUGCAGGGCAUAAUUGCAAUAUUGGGGUUUAGAUUGUAAUUAUGAGUUUUGCUAUUGCUAGUUCUGUGAGGAAUACUCUAGUAUCUCUAUAUAUAAGACUGUAACUUUCAGUAGUUGCACUGCAGUAUCUAGAUAUCAUUCCACUGCUGUAACUACUGCAUAGAAGGGAGAAGAGAGGUGGGGCAGGAAGGAAUUCUGAUGAAAUGAUAUGUUCUUGGAGGAUUUGCAAGUCAAUUGCUCAUUUUUCUUUCCUGUUCAGUUAGAAUUGGCAAAGGAAAGUUUAUUAAAUGGAAUGGAUUUGAGCGUCUGUUACUUCUUUAUCUCUCUCUGGGGAUGCUGGAAGAAUUUUGCCUUGCACCUCUUGCUAAAGAGCAAGGGAAUAACAAUGUUGCCUUUUUUUCUCUGUUCGUGCUGAGCAAAGCGAACAAGUGUCUGCAGCUGUUAAUUAGUAGAGAGGUUAAUAGAAGAGCUGCGAAUCAUUGGCAGAUCCCAAAGAGUUCCCCAAUUUGGUCGAGGACUGGCAGCUUACUCUUGCCUUUGAAUCUAAGAUUCCUAGAGAACAAGGCACUUAUCUCCCUGCUGAGCAAUACUUAACUAAUGCUGAAAGUCUAACAUCAACCUCAUUCAGAGUUUCAAAUGCAUGCAAAUUGAGGAGGAAGCAUGCAACUCAAAAUGGAGAUCUAGAUAAUGAGGAAAUGAUGACAAUGAUGCUGAAAAAGCUAUCCAGGGAGAUCCUGAACCAGCAAAGAGUGUUAUGGUUGUUGAUGGUAAUGAUGGUGAACAAGUGAUGCAUCAAUGAAUGUACUUCAUCAACUUAAAGACAAUAGUAAGCGCUAUGUGUUUAUCAUUUUUUGUUUUGAACAUUUUAUGUGAACUUGGCUUCCUGUAGGUCCAAUGUCAUUAUGAUAUUUUAGUUUUUGUGACAGUGCUUGACAGUGCUUGUCCUACUUUUUUCAGUUCUUCAUUAACCACAUAGCCACAAAGUACUUUCUGAACAUCACUAAAAGACAGCUUCUUCCACCAGUGUAAAUACAUUAUUGAGGUGAGAAAAGCUUUUCUUUAUACACAAUUUAUUUAAUCAGUGGUUCACUGGUAAAAAAGAUUUCAUUUGAGUAGGGCAUACAAUCAUGCCAUAUGUUGUUUGACACCAGAAAAUUUGUUCUUUGGAUUACCGCAAGAUAAGCUAUAAACUUUCACAAAGGCAUGACAUUUUCCACAAGAUAUUAAAUUCUGACUGUGGCAGUUGCUAGGGGGCCAAAGGUCCUUUUUCUUCUUAAUAUUAGUUGGUUGGAAAUGGAUCCUGUGGUUUAUAUCACCAGAAAUUGAUAGUAUUUGUUUGUUGUUGAUCCCACACAGUAUCUGCUACGAUGCAUCUAAGAUAUUGUACAUACUGAAGAAUAAAUUUUAUUAACUAUGGCCCAUGAAUUUCAGGUUGGCCUACAUCUUACUGAAGAGCCAUAAUCUCUACUAUUGUUAGCUGCAUCUUGGCCUGUCUCCUAAGUGGGACCUUUAAUUCAUAGCAUUAGCUAAUAAUCUUAUACCCUCUUUGCUUUAGUUUUUUGAUUUUGACCUAUCACAUUACGUUUCCCUCCUCUUUUGUGGUUGGGUGACCUGUACCAUCUUUCCAUGUGUAUUUACCCCCUCAGAAACUGUUUCUUACUGGUUCUUAUUGCGAGUUGUAAGGAUACUUAUUCUCGUGAAACUUUACACCUUUACAGAUGGAAAAUGACCUCCCAGAGAAAAAAGUAGAGAAGAAAAGAAUCAAAACAAAUUUAUUGAUCAGAUUCUUGCCUUCUCUUGUUUUAUGUACAUUGUAUCAGGUUUUGCAGUAAGGUGGCCCUAUAAGAUGGCGUUUCCGGUUGCCAAUGGUUUCGUAAUUAAGGUAAUCAAUUCAACAAAAAAACAUACUUUGACAAUACUUUACAAAAGAAAAUUCCUUUAGAUAAAUUAUAAUUGAUGUGCUUAGUGCAGCAUUAGCAAAAUAGAUAAUGCAUGAGGUGUAUUUUUUUAGUCCCAUAAUUCAUAUUCUCAGUCCCAUAAUUGUCAUGGUAUAAUAGUGAUUAGACAAAGUUCUAAUCAUUUGAGAUUCCCUGAUAAUGAAGCAUUACAUACAUUAUAAAUAAGAUUAGCAUAGCAAUUGGCAACAAUGAUUUGGUUAAAUUGGAUUUUAUUAAGUUAGGAAGGGAGAACUUAGCUGGAACUUGGAAUUCAGCUUUUGUGUGUUCUAUAACACGCGUUUAGAGCAAAUCUGUGUCUUUGUUAGGUUAGAUUUGUCUUUUAUUAUGUUAUGCCGACAUUUUUGCAUAGUUGAGGGAAAAAAAAAGUAAUUCUUUAAAGCUAUUUUCUAUGGUAUAUACUAUUUUACCUAUUCCAGCAGCUUCCUAUGACUUUCAUUAGACAAAAACAAAUCUCUCUAAUAGCAAAAAGCAAAUAGUUGGUGGCUUUCAUGUUCAAUAUACAAUUUCUGGAUAACUUGUUGCUACUCGUUGGUGGAGUUUUCUAAAAAUAAAACAUAAAAAACAAAAUUCAGCUCUGAAAAUUCACCAUGUUUAUAAAUUUAUUUUUCUAAUAAAUUUUUUAUUUAUAAAUUAGAAUUGAUGAUGUUUAGAUCAAAAAAAUUAACUGAAGGCUUGAUUUUGUGGUAGUGUGCAAAGAAAAUUUGAAAUUUCAGAUUGAUUUUUCAUCGCAUAACAAAAAAUUGACAAAUAGCUACUCCUGUGGUAAUAAUGUUUAAUUGAUUUUUAAUUAGAGAUUCUAUUUUAUAAAUUUCACUAACUGUUAAGUAGUGACCCACCCAUGAAUUUCAACGUUAGGGACCAAUUUAUCUAUCAAAAGGCGCGCCCUCUUGUUCUUCCAUAGCGUGACGAGGAGUCAGGGAUAUUUUGGGUAAUCACUCUAGUCAAUUGAAUUGAGUCCCAUAUUCAGCCAACCAUAGUUAAAAGUUUCACGGAGACACUGACCUAUACCUCCUCUGGGGAAUGGGAUUACUUAUCUAUUUAUAAACGCUAAACUAAUGAACUGUUGUUAUUUAUAAAAAUUAGGGUUUUUUUCUCUUUUUUAUUAGUAAAUGUCCAGUAAUACCCUUCUUUAUUCUAUGUGUUUUCAUUAGAUUGACUUGGGCGAUCUAUCUAUGGAAUGAAUUUAAUAAAACAUGAAAAAAUAAUUAUUUUAAUAGUCGUUGGUUAUCUCAAUGAUUACGGUGUAUUGUAUUAGCAUUUUUCAAAUGUUCAAAAAGAGAAAAGUAAACAGUAACAUAAAAUCACGCAACCCAAUACUAUAAAUAAUAAAAUAAACAUUUUGACUAUAGUUAUAGUUAAAACGUGCUAUCUUAAAAGCAGCUGCGGAAGAGGUUGGUGUCGAAUCAAAAGCCUAGAGUAGCUGGACCGGGUAAGAUUCUUUAGUAUUAAGGUAAAAGUAACAAUUUUUUUCUGAAAUCUGACACUCCUAUGGUUUAUCAUUUUACCGUUGCAGUCUUUUUUAUUAUUGGAAUAUCAAUUUGUAUCCAUUCAGUUGUAAAUUGUGAUGAUAAGGUGAAUUUCUUUUCUUUGGAUUUUUGUUUCGUACGUGAAGCAAAUGCCAUUGGCAGCUUCCAUUAUAAGUUGUGGUUAGGUGAAUAUCUUCGGUUGUCACUAUUCUUUACCAAGAAUAGGAAAUAUUUAUUUUAUAAUGUUAAUUUUUAUUGAAGUUUUAAAUCUGUAA